UUCCAAGAGUUUUUUAAGUGUUCUCAUGGCAGGCUAAUUGGCUUACCUCUAAAGAAAGCAACCUACGUGAUUGAGAAGGAAGCUGAAACACCUUCUGUGACCUUGUCUUGGAAGCCACUCAUUGUAGCUUCAGUUGUCUUCUACUGUAUUGGUCACGUAUACAUAAUGAAUAUAUCUCUGAUACACAAUGAAAAAUAGCUACACUGGGUAAAGGAGACAAUGUCAGCUCAAAGAGGGCCAGGGAAUUCAAUAUGGCUGCAUUGCAUGAAGAAGGCUGUGCAUGGAGAAGAGGCUGGUUAGAGGAGAUGACACUAAAUCCUGGUGAGUCUUGAGCUCUAUACAGGGAGUGGAAAGCACUCAGCAAUGAUUUAGCCAAGGGGAGAGAGAGAAGAUGUUUGAGGAGAGAGACAGCAUUAUCAUACACAUGCAAAAAAAAAAAAAAAAAAGAGGGGGCAAUAAGUAGGAGGCACUAAGUUUAGUGAGUAUCUCUGGUUGAAGAAAUGAUGACUAUUUAAAAAUGAUUACUAUUUUAGAUCAUCUCCAGUUUCCAAUCUUGUGUGUGUGUGUGUGUGUGUGUGUGUGUGUGUGUGUGUGUGUGCAUAUGUCUGUGCAUGUGUGUGUGUGUUUGCUUUUGGUAACAAUUUUUAAACAGAACACAUGAAGUUGUUUUUAAAGGAUAAGACACAAAUGUGGCAGAGAAGAGGCUAGUGAAAGCGGUGUCUAGAGAACUCGGUUCUGGAGGCUAAAGGGGGUCAGCAGAGGAGUGUUGUCCUUUAAUGGUGGCUUGUGGCAUCCAAAACUCCUGAUGAAUUAUUUUAUGUUAUGAAAUAUUAUGAGGUGGGACCCUUAUGAGAUAUUUAGAGAUACAUAGCCUUAGUGGACUCGUGGAUUGAUAUAUCUUGGGAGAGUGUCUGUUUUUACAACUCUAGUGUGAUCCCUGUCUCAUCCUAUAUGUGAUGUGACGUGCACUUUGAGACUCUUAUCAGCAAUAAGGCCAUCCCCAGAUAUAGGGUCUUGAUCCUGAACCAGAACAAUGGGAAAAAAGAAACUUUCCUCUCUAAUUUAUUAGCAACAGAAAUGGACUCAAAUGGUAUGGAAGAAGAUGUUACUGAUGUAUUCUGAAUGCACAUUAUCUGGGGUUUUUUUUGUGUAUAUUCAUAAAGCUA
rnacentral:lncRNA from 1 species